rnacentral:rRNA from 4 species
CACACGACUCUCGGCAACGGAUAUCUCGGCUCUCGCAUCGAUGAAGAACGUAGCGAAAUGCGAUACCUGGUGUGAAUUGCAGAAUCCCGCGAACCAUCGAGUCUUUGAACGCAAGUUGCGCCCGAGGCCAUUUGGCCGAGGGCACGCCUGCCUGGGCGUCACGC